GGAAGCCGAUGUAUCACGCGGUCCUCGAUCUCGUCGGAAAGAGCUCCGCGUUGAGGCAUCAAAGCAGGAAAAAGCAUUUCCUAAAAAAAAAGCAGGAAAAAGCAGGAAUCGAGCCGGGUCGGAGAAACCCAAACCCUCGUGCCGUCCGCCCACCUGCCGCCGACAGGCCUCCUAUCUUCUCGCCCUCGAUCUGCCGGCAUUGGCCCCUCCUCCUCCGCGGGAUCUUCUCCGCCCCAUCUCGCGUCUCCUACGGUUACUCUUUUCUCUCGAUUUGUUCGAUUUUUAGGUGGUUUGGUACCUUGAUCUGGUCCAUCUCUCUAUUGUUUUGCCCUGUUAGUUUCUUCGGAGCAUUUGCUCUGUUGUUUUCGCUUGGUACUUGGAUUUACCCUUGGCCCGAUGAUGAUUAUGAUGAAUCUCUCAUGGAUGGAUGGAUGGAUAGAUAGAUACAGGGUUUGAGCUCCAGAUGGGUUCGCCCGUUGCUUUUGCAAGAACGAAGCUCCCUAAAUGGCUAGUGCUGGCUGUCUUUUCUGUUCUGGGUGCUGAGGCAUGUGUGCUUUGGGGAUCGGACGUGAACUGUGAACAGUCACUGACAGAUAGGACCGCCCAUGCGGCAGGUCUUCUUCUUCUUCUUCUUCUUCUUCGCCGAUCUACCAAGACACUCGUCUCUCGUCGCUCGUCGUCGUCUCCUCGUCUCCUCCGCCGAUCUAACAAGACACGCCCCAGUGCCAGCUUUGAAGCCAGCUGCAUUAGCCUAUGCUGAAACUGAAAUCUGAGGGCCAUAUCGCAAUACAAAUAGAGUACGGAACAGUAUUUUUUUUGAACAAAAAUAGAGUAGUAUUUUGAUCGGAGGUUAAACUCUAUUGUUUGGGCACGCUGUAAAAACGCCAUUUUGCAGUGUGCACACUGUGCUGUUAUGGUGUGAUAUUGUCAUGUGAAAGCCCAAUGGGGUACUUGCACCUCGCAUUGUGUCAUAGAUGGCGCAUGGUUUCCUUUGCAGCAUGCAUGCUCUGCCUCUCUUGUUUCACUGUCUUGGUGUCUUUGCCUAGGUCUAGGCUAUUGUUCUGAACAAGGGUACGUGCCUGAUGGAUCACUGAUUGAUAGAGUAAAUCAAUGGCACAAAAGCACUCGCAUCCUUCCCUCAUUCCAUGUGUUCAUCUGAGGAUCAAUUUUCAUACAUCUAUAUAUUCUUUGUUUCUUUGUCGCUUUCUUAUCAUCAUCAUCAUCAUCUGAUGUGUCAUACUAUCAAUCGCAAACUUUCCUUUUGCCAUUUUUUAAUGUAGGUUAUUUCUUUUAAAGUAAAUCUGACAUGCUAGGCAUUUAUCAAAUGUCUUGUGUAGUAGCUAAACACCCAUGCGUUGCUACAGAUAAUACAAAUUAAACUGAUUGUUAUAGAUGAAUUAGAUUAAAAACAACUAUGAUAUAUUAGCUAUAUUUGCUAGUAAUAAUAUCUCUAACUCUGGUGGCAAAUGUCAUUGCCAUCUCAGUUUAUUGCAGUAGAAUUGUUGUUUGCAUUAGAAAGAAAUGAGCUAUUUUCACAAUAGAAGGAGGUGACGGACCCCUGACCAGCAAUUGUCUCUUUUAUAAGAAGUAAAGAAGUUUACUGUCUUUUCUUUUUUGUUUUGCUGUCAAUUUGGUUUUGCUACUCAGUACUUCGCUUUAUGAUACCUCUUGUUACCUCUUACCCAAUUAAGAUCCCAGCUGUAGACCUCUGGCUUGCACUCAGUUUCUAUUUUCAGUAAAUCUUGAUGGUUCAUUUUGUUUUAUAUGGUGGCUAGAAGGGCUAGCUUCUAUAAUGUAUUGCUCAAUGAUGAAAACUGAAAAUGUAGAGAUGGCACAUGGACAUGAUCCUCCUCCUCCUCCUCCUCCUCUUCUCUCUCUGCAUGUGUGUGCGUGCACGCAUGCACACGCAUCAGCAGCAGCAGCAGUAGCAGCUCUAGUCACAGCAGAUCAACCUUUGUACAUGUCCUUACGGACAAAUCGAAGAUCAUAUCUUGUGCCAUCAGUGAAUGCUACAUUAUGACACCUGAGGGCAUGAUGCUUCCUUUUCGUGCAUUAUACAAAUUACUGCUAAACUUUUCAUUGAUAUAUUUAUUGUUUCAUCUCCCAGCUCUGUCCCUAUUGGGUUGGUGAGAACCCUUCAUUUGAGCUGUCUCAUAUGUUUACAUUUUGCAUAAUAUUGCCGAUUGCAUCUUCAAUUUUGUCCAUUUGCUGUGGUUCCAUUUGGUGAUAGGUUUGGCUGUUACUCCCUCUGUCCACAAUUAAGUGGACAUAUAGGAAUUUUAAGACAAAUUAUGGACUGGGGUAGAGAGUGCAUUGGGAAGGUGUCAACCACCAUCUCUCUCUUUGAUCCCCUCACCUCCAGUGAGCUAAGUGCAUGUAAAAAUGUUAUUAAAUUUGAUUUCUGUGUGAUGAGAGAGAUGCAAUUUUUCGUACUUUGAAGUUCUUUGGAAAGAGAAGUACACUCUUUCGUGGACAAAUUUUAAAGCUAAACAUCCACUUAUUUGUGGAUGGAGGGAGUAAAGUCUUCUUUUUCAGUUUUGAGUACCUUUCCUGUUUGUUGAUUUGCUUAUUUCAGUUUUCUUUUUCACUUGCGGGGUGCUUGCCUCAGCGGAGUAAAGUCUUCGGUGUUGGCCUGAUGAUUGUCGCGAGAGAUCACCAUUGUAAAUCAGCUUUCAUUUUGAGUUCCAAUCUCCAAGUGGUAGCCUUUUACUGCAGUGAAGCUUUUGUAGUAGCCAAAACUGGUUUUCUCUCUUUAAUGUGUGUGUUCGUGGUUUAUUUUGGUAUGCUAUCUAUCGUUUGGGCUUCAAUUUUCUCCAUGAUUGUGGUGAUAAUGUUUCUUGUGUUGCUGUUAACCUGUUUUUGUUGUCAUCUAGGUACAAACUGGCUCUGUUGUUCUGUUUUUCUUACUAGGGAUCUACUGAUCCGUUUGCUGCUUUUGUACUGUAGUAUUACUAUGUUUCCUCUUGUUGCUUGGAUUUAUGGUUGGCCCGGUGAUGAUUAAUGGAUGGAAAGAUAGACCAAAGUAGGUUGUGAGCUUAAAUAGACUGCCCUUUGCAUUUGCUAAGUGUAAGCUCCUGGAAUUGCUAAUGCAGUGUUGGCUUUUAUGUUCUGGGCGCUGAAGCAUGCUCUGGUGGGAUCAGAUCAAAACUCUCACUGACUGCUUCUGCUCUUCUCUGACUUUCUUUCUUUCUUCUUCCUAUUCCUUCCAUCCCAUGUCAUUGCAACUGCCACGGCUGUUGUUGCCAUGGUUGUACUAUUCCGGGAACUUACUACCAAUCCAUCAAGACAAUCUCUAGUGCCAGCAUGGAUGCCCACUGCAUUAGCAUGUGAUGAAAUACAACCAGUUUGAAAUCUGAGGGCCAUUUUGCACUACAUAUUUUCUAUGUUGAUUGGAAACAACUUAUUUGCGUGGACAGACGAUCAAGUGUCAGUAACUCAGUAUGCACAAUGCUUUACUGUGAUAUUAUUGUUUAACGCACCAUGAUGAAAUGGGCCCUCUGUGAUUCCAUGUCGUCAUCUUUCCUAAUUUCCUUGGUUGUAAAUUUGUCAGGUGAACCAAAAGAUCUUCUGUUCACUGUUCUUGAAUUUUAAUUUUAGAUGGCCUUAUGUAGUCCCUUCUUUCCUCCCGCUGCUGCUGUUGGUACAAUAAAAGUCUUCUGCUACCACAUUGCCGCUGCCAGUGGCGGUGCUUAAUUUGAGAGAUAAUGGAGGUCUGAUCAAAUCCUUUGCUAUCCGUGAUGUAGUAUCUUUGGUGUAGUGCAUAUCAUAUUUAUUUUCUUUCAUGCUUGUUCAGGUCUAUUAGAUAAGGCUGAAGCCUCCUUGAAUCAGAAUCUUUGAGAAGAACGGGUGUUUAGUAUCUUUCUCAAUGGGAAUCGGUACCUUUUCUCUUAAGAUGCAACAUGCUGGCAAAUGUGCAUUAUGUGAUCAGAUGAUCAGAUAUGUUUUUGUCCUUGUUUGCUUACUGUACAUCUUUUUUGUUUCUAUUGUGGAUGAUCAUAAAUAUGGAAUUAUGGAGCAAUGGCUGCACCAAAUUUCUUUUUCAUCAAAUCAGGAUUUAUGAUUUCUUCUUGGUUGGUGGCUGUUGCUGCCACAGUUUUUUGCGUUCUGAAAGCCAGUACCUAAUGAUGGAAACUCAAUAUGCAGAGAUGGCACAUGACUGGAUGACCCUGUUCCAUCCUUCCACCAUCUCUCUCUCUCUCUCUCUCUCUCUCUCUCUCUCACGGACUGCAGCAUCAUUCUAGAUCAUCCUCUUGUGCCAUCCUUGAAAGCUGCACCAAUGAGAUCUGAGGGCACGAAUUGCACUUUGAAGGGCAUCUAGUCACUUGGGAGGUUUUAUGCCUUCACAGGGCAUCUAUGACAGAUUAUUUCAGUCUCCAUAUGCUGUUAAUAGGAAAGGUUAUCUAGACAUGCUUGCCUGUAAUGUAACAUAAUGUUAGAAUUUCAGUCUCUUUGAUUGGAAGGAGUUUUAUUGGAAUUUUGGAGGGUUCUAUUCCUAAGGAAUUUUUCAUAUAUAACUCGGCUUGAUUUGCAGAAUUUGAAACCAUAGGAAUUUUUCCUGUGGAUUACUUUGCAUGCACUAAAAUUUCCAUGAGGUCAAACCUUAUAGAAAAUUCCCUUUGUUUGUAUGACAAUUAUUCAAGUAAGUUUGUGCAUUUUCCCUGUGGUGCAAUAAAAUAGUUUUGAAUUCAUGUGGAUUCAGCAUGACAUGAUAUUUAAUUUCUAUGUUUUCUUCUAUUCCUGUGUUUUUGACAUCCUUUGAAUCAAAGAGGCUCUCAGUUCUGACAUCAAAUAUAUUUAUGUUUUGAUUUAAACAAUCAAAUUAGUUCAGAUAUGUUUCUGCCUUUAGUUGUUGCAUAAGUGUUUUUUUAGAGUUAUUGAUCAGGAUACGUAGAUGGUGACCUGCUGCUUGUUGCUUCAGUUGUGUUCUAUCCGGUGGUAGUCUGGUAAAAAACUAACAUAAAAAAAGGUGUGAUCGCUGAUUUGUGGCUGCUGGAUUCUCUUUGAUUCAGUUAUAUUCUAUGGGCUGUUACUGAUGGGAUGCCAUUUGUGUUUACCUAAAUUGGGCUAUUACUAUGGGCUAUUAUAUUUAUCUGAAUUGAUGUGACCACAGCAAGUUUUGAAAUCUUUCUAUGAUGAGCGCCGUGCAGUUUUCACCUUACCCACUGCAUUCUUCUGUUAUGGUUGUUUCUGUGACAAUGAUUAUUAUAUUGGGAAACUUGGUGGAGAUAAAACUUGCGUUUCUGACGUGGCUAAGCAAUAGUGGUUUCUUUAAAAAAAAUCAAAAUAGUUGUCGUUUAUGAUAUAGCUAGUGAUGAUGUGGCAUAUCAUUAAAUGAAGAAAAAGAUAGUAAUUUGCAAACUAAUAAAUAAAUGCAUUAUUAUAUAACUGCGAUUUUCAUCAUGUUCUUCAGACGAGUGUCUUGGUGUCGUUGGAAUUCGGCGGAGCUUGUGGGUUUGAUUUGUGAACGGGCUUAUAGGAGUCUGUAAUUUUUAUUUUUGGGGGGUCUUUUCUGCUUUGCUUCUUAAACUGUUGUUUUCUUCUGGUCGGUCUACCAGCUUCCGCAGGUUUUGAACUAAUUGUACUACUGUAUUUGUUACUCUAAAGAAAUAUCUUGUUAUCUUCAACGUCAUAUCCUAUAUCUUUGGCCUAUUUGGCCUCGUAUCCGGUGAAAAUAUCUUUUCGGUGCAAACUUGCAAACUGUCUCUGGCCAUCGGAUCUAUGACAUAUGCUCCAGAUGAGAGGUGGGAAUGUACCCACCACUUAAACGCAUUUUUGCAGCAAACCCCAUGCCUAAGUCCCACCUCGACACAAUAGACGGGAGAAAAAAAGGCUUCGCUAAUCGCCAAAGAGAAAAAAUAAAUAGAAAACCCUACUUCUUCAGGCUGCUGCCAUGGAACGAGAUCCCUUGUCCGAUCGCUGGCCGUGGUGCCCUGCCCAGGAGCGCUGCACGACCUCCUCCGUUUUGUUGAAGCUCCACAAUACUUGUGUGUUCAGAAAUCGCACGAUGCAUUUUUCAAUGUGAACCUGGUUCUGGAGCUCAUGUGUUGCAUGAAUUUUAGAUGGGCUUUGUGCCUAUAUUCUGCCAGGAGAUAUCAUAGACCCUGCCAUUUGCAUAUCUUAAUAGUGUAGCUAUUGUGGGUUUAUCUUAAUAGUGUAGCUAUUGUGGGAGCUGUUUCAAGAAAGUUUUGUGAUCUCUUGACCUGUAGUCUAAAUCUGAAUGUUGUGUAUCUUGAUGAGAUAUUCAUUUUUAUGAUGACAUGUCAGAAACAAAAAAUGUGAACCUGGAGCCGAAGUCUGAAUGCUUUUGGCCCACAAAAAGAAUUUUUGCAUGUACAACAAGGGAAACUUCUAGAUUGGUGUUUAGGCUCCAGUUCAUAGAUUUCUGUAGUUUCACUGUGUACAGCAAUAGCAAAACAGCAAAAGAUGACAUAUUUCCUGUAAAUUCACUGUCAUUCAAGAAUGGCGUGCGGUACAUUUUACA